rnacentral:rRNA from 1 species
GGCUACAGGACUAACGCUGGCCGGUGCGCCUAACACAUGCAAGUCGUACGGGCUCCUUCGGGAGCGUAGUGGCAGACGGGUGAGUAACGCGUAGGUAAUGUACCUCUUCGCUGGGGAUACCUACCUGAAAAGGUGGCUAAAACCGAAUGAGCUUUUCAAGCGGCAUCGCUUGAUUUGCAAACCUCCGGGGCGAAGAGAUCAGCUUGCGUACUAUCAGCUAGUAGGUGAGGUAAUGGCUUACCUAGGCUUCGACGGUUAGCCGGUCUGAGAGGAUGAUCGGCCACAUUGGAACUGAAACACGGUCCAGACUCCUACGGGAGGCAGCAGUGAGGAAUCUUGCGCAAUGGGCGAAGCCUGACGCAGCGACACCGCGUGAGGGAUGAAGGUCUUCGGAUUGUAAACCUUUGUCAGUGGGGACGAGAACGGACGGUACCCGCUGAGGAAGCAUCGGCUUACUACGUGCCAGCCGCCGC